UGUGGUUAGCGGUGAAAUGCCAAUCGAACUCGGAGAUAGCUGGUUCUCCUCGAAAUAGCUUUAGGGCUAGCGUUGUGUUAGUAAUCAUCAGGGGUAGAGCUCUGAAAAGGUUCGGGGCCGGCAACGGUACCCACCCUUAUCAAACUACGAAUACUGGUGGUGUAACCACAGCAGUCAGAACGGCGGGGCUAAGCUCGUCGCUCAAAAGGGAAACAGCCCAGAUCAUCGUCUAAGGUCCCCAAUUAACACUAAGUGGGAAACAAAGUGAAGUUUCUUAAACAGCUAGGAUGUUGGCUUAGAAGCAGCCAUUCAUUUAAAGAGUGCGUAACAGCUCACUAGUCAAGAGAUUUUGCGUGGAAAAUGUAACGGGGCUAAAGUGUUAAACCGAAGACAUGGACUUCUGCUUAUGCAGGAGUGGUAGAGGAGCGUUGAUAUCGCAGUGAAGUCAGAUUGUAAAGUCUGGUGGAGCGUUAUCAAGUGAGAAUGCUGGAAUCAGUAACCUUAAGACAGGUGAGAAUCCUGUCGGUCGUAAGAGCAAGGUUUCCAGGGCUACAGUAAUUGUCCCUGGGUUAGUCGGUCCUAAGCCGAGGCGUAUCUGCGUAGGCGAUGGACAACAGGUUAAUAUUCCUGUACAGGUAGUAGUUGUUAACAGUUCACGGUGAGUGACCGGAGCGGAUCAAUGGUUUAUCCGUCCAAGACUUCAAGGAAUUGAAGUCGAGUGAAAGAUAUUCUUCGGAAUAUUGAUUCUGGGUACAACGCUGGCUAGAAAAGCUGGUUAACUUAUGCUGCUGCCUACCGUACCGCAAACCAACACCGGUGCUCGGGUCGAGUAGACCAAGACCUACGUGAGAACCUUCGCUAAGGAACUCGGCAAAAAAGCGUCCGUAACUUCGGAAUAAGGACUGCCCUCUCAUUAAGAUGAGGAUUUGCUAGAAACUUGGUGGAAACAUAAGGUUAAUAAUAUUUACCUAAUAAUUUAACCAAAUUUUUCGUCAAGACAGAACACAUCAGGAAAUAUCCUGUGAUAUCUUUUCUAGUAACUCAAUCGUCAUUUUGAUGAGAGGGUCGCAGCUAAAGAGCCCACGGAACUGUUUAACAAAAACAUAGGUCUCUGCUAACGCGAAAGCGGAUGUAUAGGGGCUGACUCCUGCCCGGUGUCGGAAGGUUAAGGGGAGAGCUUUACGGUUCGAACUGAAGCCCCGAUGAACGGCGGCGAUAACUAUGAUCGUCCUAAGGUAGCGAAAUUCCUUGUCUGGUAAGUUCAGACCCGCACGAAUGGAGUAAUCAUGUGGGCACUGUCUCGGCGAAGGCCACGGUGAACGUGCAUUGGCGGUAAAGAUGCCGUCUGAUCAUGCCAGGACGAGAAGACCCCAUGGAGCUUUACUACAACUUUGCAUUGAUUAUUGGGACAUUUUGUGUAGAAUAGGUGGAAGACUUUGAAGCAGAUACGCUAGUAUUUGUGGAGUCGAAAUGUGAAAUACCACCCUGAGUGUUUUAGUAAUCUCACUUUUGACCUUAUCGGCCAAGAGGACCGUGCAUGGCGGGUAGUUUAACUGGGGCGGUUGCCUCCUAAAGAGUAGCGGAGGCGUUCAAAGGUUGGCUAGCUACGGAUGGAAAUCGUAGCGAUAGUGUAUGCGCAAAAGCCAGCUUGACUGUGAGGGCCACAACCCAAUCAGACACGAAAGUGGGAGCAAAUGACCCGCUGUACAGAACUUCGGUUCAAUUUACGUGGGAAAGACAGCGCACACGGAUAAAAGUUACCCUGGGGAUAACAGGCUGAUCGCGCCCAAUAGUUCACAUAGACGGCGCGGUUUGGCACCUCGAUGUCGGCUCAUCACAUCCUGGAGGGGGAGCACCUUCCAAGGGUCCGGCUGUUCGCCGGUUAAAGUGGUACGCGAGCUGGGUUCAGAACGUCGUGAGACAGUUCGGUUUAUAUCCGGCAUGAUCGUUAGGAAUUUUGAGGAGAUCUACCCUUAGUACGAGAGGACCGGGGCGGACGAAUCUCUAGUGUAUCGGUUGUGACCACCUGUUGCAU
rnacentral:rRNA from 1 species